UAAGACGAAAAUACGACGAUGACGAAUA
rnacentral:sRNA from 1 species